UAGGGAAUAUUAGAAAUGGACGAAAGUCUGAUCUAGCAACACUGCGUGUGCAAAGAAGGCCUUCGGGUCGUAAAGCACUUUUUGGAAGGAAUAGGAAGGAAUGUACUUCCAGAAUAGGUCUCGGCUAACUACGUGCCAGCAGCCGCGGUAACACGUAGGAGGCAAACGUUAUCCGGAUUUACUGGGCGUAAAGCGCGUGUAGGUGGUACUGUAAGUAGGGCGUGAAAGCUCCUGGCUCAACUGGGAGAGGCCGUUCUAAACUACAGAACUAGAGGAUGGUAGAGGGAGGUGGAACUCCAGGUGUAGCGGUGGAAUGCGCAGAUAUCUGGAGGAACACCGGUGGCGAAGGCGGCCUCCUGGACCAUUCCUGACACUCAGACGCGAAAGCUAGGGUAGCAAACGG
rnacentral:rRNA from 1 species